AGAAAGGGCUUCUGUUGUGAGUGACACAUGUAGGGUAGCUCAUUUUCUCUAUGUGCAAUCGACAUCAAGAGAUUUCAGAAACAUAAUUUUUGUUGUUUGAGCAGCUGGUGAUCAUUGGCCCCAAAAAAUAC
rfam:Erinaceus europaeus unplaced genomic scaffold scaffold00113, whole genome shotgun sequence